rnacentral:misc_RNA from 1 species
GAUGAAGAACGUAGCGAAAUGCGAUACUUGGUGUGAAUUGCAGAAUCCCGUGAACCAUCGAGUCUUUGAACGCAAGUUGCGCCCGAAGCCAUUAGGCCGAGGGCACGCCUGCCUGGGCAUCACACGUCGUUGCCCCCCCAUCUACUCCUUCGGGAUUGCGGGGGGCGGAUGAUGGCCUCCCGUGCGCCUCGUCGCGCGGUUGGCAUAAAUGCCAAGUCCUCGGCGACGCACGCCACGACAAUCGGUGGUUGCGAAACCUCGGUUGCCCGUCGUGUGCGGUCGUCGCGCAUCGAGGGCUCGAAAAAAUUGCCGGGCUCCGACUCGGCUUUCAACGCGACCCCAGGUCAGGCGGGGUUACCCGCUGAAUUUAAGCAUAUCAAUAAGCGGAGGA